UAUAAAUAGUGUUUUCCCCCGUAUAAAUAGUGUUUAUUUUUUCUGUAAAUGUCAUUCAAUUUUAAUGAAACCGCCAAAAAAACGUACUCACCUUUUUUCGCAUUCCCUCUCAAAAUCCUUUGUUCAAAUACGACGGCGACAACCGUACCGGCGCUCCCGUCAAAGACCACUGCUCCGUCAGCUGGAUCAAUGUGAACAGUAUUUUCAUUGUUUCAGAGGCAUGUGGCGUCUCAGAAGGUUAUGGUAUCAGUUUCAUGACCUCAGCUCAACAUUGAAUGAGAAAGGCAAAUAUUGUGGCAGGACUCGGGAGACAGCUCCAGCCUUGGAUCCGUUUCUCGUUACACACGAGAAAUAUGUAAGAAGAGAGAUCCAUGUUGAUACUUGAGAAUAGAAAGAGAUAUAUAGGUACUAUAAUGCAAUGAAGGCCGAAGCACGUGAAGCAACUAUGCUGGUUUGCAAAUACAACGUGGUAGGGACCCUUAAUUUAGAGCACAGGAAAGUUUGUGUGGAAUCCUCCAUUUCCAGUUUAAGAGGUAUGUCUCCAUUCUCUCUUUCCUCAACAACCCUUUGAUUGGUAGAUGAGGCUAUUUAUUGUCAUCACUGUACAGAUUGCCUUGAGUUCAAGAGAGAUGGAUUAAUAUCAAUUUAUAUCUCAAUCUUUUGUCACUUUUAAAAACUUGCGGAUUUUGUCAUGACCUUUUUAAUAUAGUACGUAUUAAUUCCGUCAUGGAAACAAAAGAAUAAAUUUUGAAUCUUCAAAUUAAUUGAGGGCUUUUGAAGUUUCUGGCUUGCAUUCUACACUUGAUGUCGAAAUAUUCAAAAGCCCUUAAUCACUUUUGAAUUUCAAAAGACUUUCUAUUGUUUUAUGAUGGAAUUGAUACACGUUAAAAAACUUGAGAUAUCCAAGGCUGAGAUAUGAACUAAAAAUGAUGGAAGGGGGGCUACAGUUGUAUACUACAUAAUCUUAGGUGUGAUUGGCAAAUUAAAUAUGUGGGGGGCUGGGCCCUUUCUUGCAAUAAGUGGCAGCUGUGCCAAUUGGCAACAAAAUUAAUGCUGACAAAAGAAUUUAUUUUAGAGGUGGGGGCUGUAGCACUUCCAUCUUUUUAGGUUGGAUAAAUAAGAGUUAGUUCCAUCAUUUUUCCUUUGGAUUGGAGCCUGUGUCAUCUUCUACACCCCUACUGUUUUUGUUUCUACUCUUGUAGACUAAAAUGCUAAUAGCAAUUCCACUAAGUUGGGCGAGAUAGAAUUAUAAAAUAAAUGAAACAUACGAAGAUUAUUGCAGCUUUUUAGGUUUGGGUCAGAAAUUAUUUGGAGGGUUUCUGGCCUCUCUGUUUUGAAUACAGUUUCUCUUCAGUGUAGUUUGCAGGUUUUAUUAUGUGUAGAGUAGUAUAGGUUUGGUGGUUAUGUGAAAUCUUUUUGUCUUAAUUAAUGGGUACACUGGGCUGUACUUAGCUGAUCAGAGGGAUCAAAAGCUGAAUCUAGAUCUCCAUAAACAAAUUGUAUACUUUGGAAUGGCUUUCCAUGUUUAAGUAAAAGCUUAGGGUAGUACUCAUAUUUUUUAUUUUGCUGCACUGUAAAAUAUACUGGAUCCAGUGUAUUGUGAUUUAGGGUUUAGUACAAAAAAAUAGUUAAGUGUUUGAAUUGUUUGGAUGAGUACCGAGGAUGUAUAAUUUGGAUUAUAAAAAUACUAAGAUCCAAUAUAUUCUCUCUAUUUCCAUUAAUUGGCUUGAUUUGACUCUAUUCGACUCAGGUUUUAAGAAAUACUAUAAUGAAACGUGAAUAGAAAAAAGUUUGUUAAAUGUGGAUUCUAAAUUAUAGUAGUAAAAAAAUAUGAAUGAAAUAAUAUUAGUUGAAUUUAAGAUUAAUUAUUAUAAAUAAUAGUGAAACGUAAUGAGUAAUUAUUCGUGGAUAGACGAAAAUAAAUUGAGCCAAUCAAUGGCUGAUAGAGGCAGUGUUGUCAAAAUGUCGUUCGGGUUGUUCGGGUCGCCUGGGUCGAGACCAUCACCGCCCCAACAUGGGUGGGUAGAUCGAGAUAUAGGGUCGCCGUUGGGUCGCCCGGGUCGAGUGUGUCGGCUGGGUUGCCCAAACACAUGCUGCGCAGUCAUGUUUUAAGAUAAAUCCCUAAAUCUUUUUUAUGUAAAUCUUUCCUUCGAUGCUGAUUUGUUUUUACUAAAAUAAACAUAAUAUAAAAGUAAAACUUACCUAAAAUCUGAUCUCUCUUAUUUUCUCAAAUAUAUUACACGUUUUCUGACUUUCUCAAUCUCAAUUCUCUAUAUAUAUGUAUGCACCACAUCAAACUUUUCAAACCUACUUUCUACACUUUAGAAUUCGGUUCAAAGAUCUUUUGUUGCCACCCUUCAUAUAUUCCUUUCUUUUGAUAUUUUCAGACAAUGGUUUCAAUUAUUUAUUUUGUGUUAUGACUUAUGAAUUGUUUUGAUAUUUUUGAUAAUUUCUAU